GACGAACGCUGGCGACGUGCUUAACACAUGCAAGUCGAACGGAAAGGCCCCUUUGGGGGUACUCGAGUGGCGAACGGGUGAGUAACACGUGAGUAACCUGCCCUUGACUUCGGGAUAACUUCAGGAAACUGGGGCUAAUACCGGAUAGGAAUCCUUGCUGCAUGGUGGGGGUUGGAAAGCUUCGGCGGUUUUGGAUGGACUGGCGGCUUAUCAGCUUGUUGGUGGGGUAGUGGCUUACCAAGGCUUUGACGGGUAGCCGGCCUGAGAGGGCGACCGGCCACAUUGGGACUGAGAUACGGCCCAGACGCCUACGGGAGGCAGCAGUGGGGAAUAUUGCACAAGGGGCGGAAGCCUGAUGCAGCAACGCCGCGUGCGGGAGGACGGCCUUCGGGUUGUAAACCGCUUUCAGCAGGGGCGAAGCUUGUGGUGACGGUACCUGCAGAAGAAGCACCGGCUAACUACGUG
rnacentral:rRNA from 1 species